UACGUAGGGGGCAAGCGUUGUCCGGAAUCAUUGGGCGUAAAGCGCGUGUAGGCGGUCCGGUAAGUCCGCUGUGAAAGUCGGGGGCUCAACCCUCGGAUGCCGGUGGAUACUGUCGGGCUUGAGUACGGAAGAGGCGAGUGGAAUUCCUGGUGUAGCGGUGAAAUGCGCAGAUAUCAGGAGGAACACCAAUUGCGAAGGCAGCUCACUGGGACGUUACUGACGCUGAGACGCGAAAGCGUGGGGAGCAAACAGG
rnacentral:rRNA from 1 species